CCUACGGGUGGCAGCAGUGAGGAAUAUUGGUCAAUGGACGCAAGUCUGAACCAGCCAUGCCGCGUGCAGGAAGACGGCUCUAUGAGUUGUAAACUGCUUUUGUACGAAGGUAAACGCAGAUACGCGUAUCUUUCUGAAAGUAUCGUACGAAUAAGGAUCGGCUAACUCCGUGCCAGCAGCCGCGGUAAUACGGAGGAUUCAAGCGUUAUCCGGAGUGAUUGGGUUUAAAGGGUGCGUAGGUGUGCUGAUAAGUUAGAGGUGAAAUCCCUGGGCGUAACUUCGGGAUUGCCUCUGAUACUUUUCGGCGAGAGAGUAGUUGCGGUAGGCGGAAUGCAUGGUGUAGCGGUGAAAUGCUUAGAGAUCAUAAAGAACACCGAUGGCGAAGGCAGCUUACCAAGCUACUUCUGACGUUGAGGCACGAAAGCGUGGGGAGCAAACAGGAUUAGAUACCCCUGUAGUC
rnacentral:rRNA from 1 species